rnacentral:lncRNA from 1 species
UGAGGAAUGCUCAUUGCUGAAUAAUUGUUAACAGCAGGAAACCAAGAUGAGAAGCCAGGCCUUAUUCCACUGAUCAUUGGCUGUGCACUUCGGGAAUUUUGACUAAAACCCAGAGAUGACUCAACAACGUUAACAUCAUCAACAGCAGGUCCAUCGUUUAAAUCAAAAUCCCUACUACCACCAGAAGAUAAGUUUGCCUGUUGAAAAGUUGAAUUCACUCGAUGAACACUGCUUAUUGUAUGAUUAUUCAUAUCAGCUGGAUCAUCAAGUCUGUUUAGAUCAAGAUCCAGAAAUAUUGUUAUAAUGUUUUUCAACACAUUUGUUAAGAAAAUUAAAUAUAUAUAUAUAUUUAAAUUAAAAGAUAUCAAAUUAUAUUAUGAUUUAAGUAGUUAAAAGAUUAUAUAUUAGCAUUAAGGAAAUAUAUUUAAUACAAAUUUUAAAUAAUGAUCCGAAUAAAAAUAUCAUACAUGAAUCAAGGUGAGGUUGUUAACCCAUCCGGAUUUUUAGGAGUGGAUGUUAUAUUAGGAAUGAUAUAUUAUAAAUCUAUAUUAUUAGUAAUAAAUGAAUUAACUAAUUUCUAGUGAGGGUCCAUUUUUAAAAAAAUCAUACAUGAAUCAAAGUUGUGACUUGUGUUUUAAUAUAUAAGAUGUUUAUUUUCGUUAUAAAAAACAUUUAAAACCUUGGCUCCCAUUGUCCCUUUGUAACUUUGAGGCUUUUCUUUUUUAGAGGAUUUCAUGUUAAUUACGUCAUUGGUCUUCUGCGUAUGGCCUUUUUCUUUUGUAUAAUGAAUCAUAUGAUAUAUAGAACUGCAUGAUUAAACAAAACUUGUAAAACUGUGUUUUGAAUAUGAGAAGGUAUUUGUAUAUUACAUUUUAUAGUUUAAUUAUAACUAGUUUCAUUUCGCAGUUUUCGUUUCAUUAAGUAUGUUUAUUUGACAUAUUAAAUCCAUGCUUUGUCAUUUUAUUGUAUUAUUAGUCAGCUAUUUCUUAUAUAUUUUUUGGAAGUGUUGGUGGGAAUGACUUGUAAAAUACUGAAAUAAAAUACAUUUUUCAACUAGCUAGAGAGUAACAAGCCCCGUGGUCCUCCUUGUGAACAACACCUCUCUAAUUAACAGACUUUUGCAUUUUCAUAUUCAUGGUGGUUGCGUCGAUAUAUAGAGUCGUAGGUAUUACUCCAACAAUUAACUUAUCUUUAUAUAUUUAUAUAACUUUUGUUAAUCAUUGAGCUAAGGCUUUUGGUAGAUGUCCUCACAAGGUUUUGAUCCCCAACAUCCAUCUAUAAAUCAUUAUAUAUAUAUAAACACAUGUAAUAUCGAUUAAUUAACAACACUUUUAUUUUCUAAAGCAGAACUGUACAAUCUGUAUCUAUUAACAAACAAAAAUGAAUUAUUUGGUAAGAAUGUUCGAUAUAUAAAAGUUGCUAUGAUUCUUUUGUGAAUCUUGAAUUUUUGUUGCUGGUUGUUGCCAACGAACUCUUGUUGGUCGAGUUUACAUUAUAUUAUGGAGUAAAUUCCAUGAUAAAGUUUUUGAAAAUAUACAGGUCCACAUAAAAGGCCAGGCCAUUUUCUACAAGUAUAAAUAAAAUAACAAAUAUUAUAUAAACAGUUGCAUACCAUACUAUUUUUCUAUUUUAAUUAUAAACAUUAAUUUAUAAUAAUAGUCAAGUAGCAUGAUAAACAUAUUUUUAUAACACAAAAAAAAAAAUUGAUAAAUCUUUCUUAUAAUGUAUUUGUUGAAAUGCUGGUUUCAGUGAUUUUCUAUGGAGAUGUUUUGUUUAAUGAUAUAACAUCCUAAAAUUCUAUAUAAAACUCAUAAUAUGCUAGAACAUCCACAUUAGGAGUAUUUUAGAGUAUCCAAUGAGAACAAAAGAAAAAUAUUGAAAAAGAAGGAAAAUGGUGUGGAAAUGCUAUAAAAGUUUUUUAAAUUAGAUAUGUAAUAUUUUUCUUUUUGAGAAGCCCAUCUUCACAUGUCAUAUUGGUUUAAUUUUUUUUUUAAAUAAAUAGAUAAUCAAAUUUUAAGUAAAAACCAAUGUUGUAUUUGGUUUGAUACUUAUAAGAGUAUCUCACCAUUGAAGAAGUUUUUUAUGCUCUAUAGUCAUAGUAUUUCACAUGGCAUAUCCGAGAGAAACACAAAAAUAACAAAAACAUGCAUUCAACAGUACACAUAUGAAUGAUAUCAUCAGCCAUCUUGACUUGUCACUAUUGCUCAACGUGACUAUUAUUAAAGAAAGACUGCAUAGUAAAUGGUUAUUACCGUGGCGUAAUAAUAUGUAUUGUAACAACUGGUGUUGUGUCAUUAACUCAAGAAGCAAAAGAUGGAUGCUCAUCAUGUGAGUUCACCACCGCUCCUUCAAAACAAAGCCACCAAACACCCAUCUAAACACACUAUAUUUAAUUAUCUCACUCCUCUCAUAUUAAAGUAAUCAUCACCUCACUUUUAUCUCUCUCUCUCUGUUUUAUUCUUCUUCUUGUGAAUGGUGUUGUAGAGAAGAAGAAUGGCUUCAAGUGCUUCAAAGUUCAUCAAAUGUGUAACUGUUGGUGAUGGUGCCGUUGGUAAAACCUGUAUGCUCAUCUGCUACACCAGCAACAAGUUCCCUACUGUGAGUAGUUCGUUAACUACACCUCUCUCUCUCUGAAAUUUUGAUCAAGAAUCUCAUCUGGGUUUCUCAGAUUCACUUGAAAGUUCCAAUCUUUUACUGAAAAUCUUUCUGGGUUUGUCAAAUUUUAGCUUCCCUAUUGCUUAAAGGUUCUUAGAAUUCAUCGGUGUAAUUCAAAGUUAGCUCCUUUUUAUAGGGAUUAUGCAUGAACUAAGAUCCAGCUUUGUGUUUCUCCUAACAACAUCUGGAUUCUUCAGAAUGUUCUUGAAAGUUUCAAUCUUUUACUGAAAAUCUUUCUGGGUUUGUCAAAUUUUAGCUUCCACAUUGCUUAAAGGUUCUUAGAAUUCAUCUGUGUGAUUCAAAGUUAGCUCCUUUACUAGGGGGAUUAUGCAUGAACUAUGAUCCAGAUAUUUGUGUUCUCUUUCUCCUAACAAUCUUUCUUUAGAGUUGAUUUAUGCAAAACUGUGAAUUGGUUGUAAACAGGACUAUGUACCAACGGUUUUUGACAACUUUAGUGCAAACGUUGUAGUUGAAGGAACUACUGUGAACUUAGGGCUAUGGGAUACUGCUGGUAACCAACAUUUCUUUUCUUUUGAUUGAUUUGAGAUAUUGUUGCAUAGACCAAGAUCCUGUUUGGGUUGUGUUUUGUUUUGCAGGGCAAGAAGACUAUAACAGAUUAAGGCCUUUAAGUUACAGAGGAGCAGAUGUUUUCGUCUUGUCUUUCUCAUUGGUCAGCCGAGCUAGCUAUGAAAAUGUUUUUAAAAAGGUUUUGAUUCAUGCAUCUCUCUUUGAACUCAAUAAGACUUGUAACAAUGUCAAGUCAUUUCUAAUGUUAUGUAUGACUUCUUCUUGUUGAGUCUCAGUGGAUCCCUGAACUCCAACACUUUGCUCCAGGAGUUCCAUUAGUUCUUGUCGGUACCAAAUUGGGUAAGAAACUGAUGAGCAUUUGCCUCUGCAUUGUUUCAGAUAUGUUGCAUGUAUUAUUGAUUCUUAGUUACUACAUCAAAAUGUAGAUCUCCGUGAGGAUAAGCAUUAUCUGACAUUGCUUAAAGGUUCUUAGAAUUCAUCUGUGUGAUUCAAAGUUAGCUCCUUUACUAGGGGGAUUAUGCAUGAACUAUGAUCCAGAUAUUUGUGUUCUCUUUCUCCUAACAAUCUUUCUUUAGAGUUGAUUUAUGCAAAACUGUGAAUUGGUUGUAAACAGGACUAUGUACCAACGGUUUUUGACAACUUUAGUGCAAACGUUGUAGUUGAAGGAACUACUGUGAACUUAGGGCUAUGGGAUACUGCUGGUAACCAACAUUUCUUUUCUUUUGAUUGAUUUGAGAUAUUGUUGCAUAGACCAAGAUCCUGUUUGGGUUGUGUUUUGUUUUGCAGGGCAAGAAGACUAUAACAGAUUAAGGCCUUUAAGUUACAGAGGAGCAGAUGUUUUCGUCUUGUCUUUCUCAUUGGUCAGCCGAGCUAGCUAUGAAAAUGUUUUUAAAAAGGUUUUGAUUCAUGCAUCUCUCUUUGAACUCAAUAAGACUUGUAACAAUGUCAAGUCAUUUCUAAUGUUAUGUAUGACUUCUUCUCGUUGAGUCUCAGUGGAUCCCUGAACUCCAACACUUUGCUCCAGGAGUUCCAUUAGUUCUUGUCGGUACCAAAUUAGGUAAGAAACUGAUGAGCAUUUGCCUCUGCAUUGUUUCAGAUAUGUUGCAUGUAUUAUUGAUUCUUAGUUACUACAUCAAAAUGUAGAUCUCCGUGAGGAUAAGCAUUAUCUGGCUGACCAUCCUGGACUAUCCCCUGUAACUACUGCACAGGUUUGAUCUCAGUAGAUUUCAGUAGCUUUGUGUGUGUAUGAGUUAAACGUUUUGGUAUGACAGGGAGAGGAAUUGCGUAAGCUAAUUGGUGCAACAUAUUACAUUGAAUGUAGCUCAAAAACUCAACAGGUAUAUAACAGAUUCAUUUACAUUGACUCGAGCUGCAUAGUCUUAGACAACUCUUGAGCGUUGAGAGUUUACAUUUUGCAGAAUGUCAAAGCAGUUUUUGAUUCGGCAAUCAAGGAAGUGAUCAAACCGGUGGUUAAACAGAAGGACAAGACCAAGAAAAAGAAGAAGCAACAGUCGAAUCACCACGGGUGUUUAUCGUGAGUGUAUACACAACAAACCUUCAUAGAUUUCUGCUUCUAGAUUCCUUUGAAAAAGAAACUGACUUCACCUCUUUGUUUUUGGACAGAAACGUUUUGUGUGGGAGGAUAGUGACUCGGCAUUGAUGAUAACCCAAACUCUGUCUGAUGUUUUGUAUUCCACUUUUGAGUUUGUAUGAUAAAUGAGAGACAUUAUAUAUAUAUAUAUAUAUAGAUUGAAUCAUAGUCAAUCAAUAGUUUACAUGGAAGAGAGAGAUAGAGAGCUUUUACUAUUAUUGUCAAACUCAAUUAUGUUUUAUUUGUUUCAAACCUGUCACUGCAAUAUAUAUCAUCAGCCAUUUUGUUGCAACAGAGAGUAAAAGUGUUCACUUGUUCGACACAUAACUACCACAAGUAGAACAAUCUAGAAAAGAGUUCUGACUAUAUAAUACAAACCAUGGCAAAUUUAAAUCUCUCAGUCUCAUAUACCAACAAUGCUUCAAGGACCAUCACCAUCAUUUUUCUUUCUUACAGCAGAACUUUAUAAAAAAACAUAAACUAAACACUCUCGUCUUGCCUUUUGGUCCAGAUACAUAGAUGUUAGACAAGGCAAAGAGUAGUGUGUUGUUUUUAAAAAGAUCACCUGGUAAAACUCUGGGAGAUGAGAGCAAAUAAACAAAGCGAUGAUGAUGACGGUCUUGGUUUAUCUAUCUGAGAGUUUUAUAAGCCAUGCCUGUGAAAAACAGAAACUGUUUGGAGGUGUAUCUACACGAAUGAUUGUAAAACAGAGGGGUCAGAUUUUCUUUUUUUUCCUAAGAAACUGUCCUUUGUGGCGUGCUGUCUGCUUUUAUCUUCAGAGUACCUAGAGCGAACAAGAGGAAUACGAAACAACGUCAGAGAACGAGAGAGAAACAAACAUGAGACAACAUAAGGUGAAAGAAGAGAGUAAAAAUAUGCUUACAGCCUUAGUGCAACGGCCUACAAAGAAAUUCACAGGUUUGUUAUUUGCCAUAACGAUUACUUAUAUCCUCCUCCAUCCCACCCACCGUCUGGUUCCUUCCUCUUGAGAGUACCACCUGACAUUUGAUACAUUCUUGCUUCGUCUCUCAAAGGUAAAGAGCCAGAGGAAGAUAGUUGUCUUUGUACGAGUGCUGCUUCAUCAGUUUCAUGCCCUCCUGGUCCAGAGUUCAAGUCAAGACCAGAUCUAAACCAUUUUGCAUUGUUGCUGCUGUCCGAAACUCCACCAUUGCUACUACCGUUUGGGAGAUUAACAACAUACGGCCUUGGGUAAUUAGAAGGGAUGGCAACUCCUGGACCCAAUAUUUGAGAGUUGACAGGAGGGAAGCAUAGCCUGCCACUUGAUGAAGAGUCCAUGUAUGGUGUUGAAGCACCUGAAAAAUUUGCUGAGGAAAGAGGAAAGCUGGAACCAAAAGGGAACCCAGGAUACUGAAAUGCUGAUGGUGGGAAUGAAACUGCUGGAGAAGACAGUAAAACAGGGCCUCUGUACAUAUCAGGUGUAUAUGAUGAAACUUCAGAUGUUGGACCCACCAUUCUCUGCGGUCCACUGCCUCGUUCAGGCAAUACUUGAGGAAUACUCAUUGCUGAAUAAUUGUUAACAGCAGGAAACCAAGAUGAGAAGCCAGGCCUUAUUCCACUGAUCACUGGCUGUGCACUUCGGGAAUUUUGACUAAAACCCAGAGAUGACUCAACAACGUUAACAUCAUCAACAGCAGGUCCAUCGUUUAAAUCAAAAUCCCUACUACCACCAGAAGAUAAGUUUGUCUGUUGAAAAGUUGAAUUCACCCGAUGACCACUGCUUACUGUAUGAUUAUUCAUAUCGGCUGGAUCAUCAAGUCUGUUUAGAUCAAGAUCCAGUACACCAGAGGGAUUUGUGGGAUUGGCAAAUCUUUGGGAAGGCAGCUCUUCAAGAACUCUUUCAUCCGGUACAUUUAGGUCGAAGUCCAAGAGUGUCUUUGUUUGCUUGCCAGCGGUUGUAGAAGCAUCACAGGAAGCCACCUCUUGGACUUUUCUUGGCUCAGCUGGUCUGAAGGCGCUAGUGGCAGCAGAUCCUCUCCACCCAACAGCUGGUUUAUUUCUCAACAGAUCAUCACGCGGAACAAAAGCACCCUUUGCAGCAGCAGCAACUGUAAUGGAUGCAGGAGGUCGACUGGUUUGUAAAGGAGUAGAUGUCAAAGACAACGAUCCAGAGAAGUUACUUGAAUUCUCCUUUCGUGUGUCAUCCCCAUUGAAAGCUUCAUUUAGGUCAAAUUUAACUCCGGCUUCCAGCUCUGACCCUGCUAAAGCUGAAACUGAAGGGACAUCUUUGGCAACAGAGGUACAUUCCUCUGUUUCAUGCCCAUCAGCACAUGUUGUCGUGGCGCACUGUUUUCCGACUUCAGCACUCUUUAGAGACGCCUCCACAUGCUCAACUUCAAUCUUAGUUACAGAUGAGUCCAGAUGAGCUGUCACAGGUUUGUUCUUUUUAUCUGUUUGGUUCACAUGAUUAAUCCCUAUGUCGAUCUUUUCUGCAGCCACUCCCUUGGAGAACCCAGACGAAACUUUUACAUCUUCACCCGUUUCUUUAACCAACUCGGAACUCAAGACUACCGGGGGUUUCUGCUCUUUCUUGUUAUCAUCGACUACAUCAGAGUGCGAAUUUGCAACAGCCAAGGAAUCUACUUUGGGACAUAAUACGAUGGCUUUACAUUCAGCUGGCGCAGAAGUUUCCACUGAUGUACAAGCAGCCUUUCGAUCGUUAGCUGUUCCAUCACAAUCAUUAUCAUCAGACAAUUUCUCUGGCAUCGAUCUAUCAACAUUUUCAGUACUCCUAUCCUUGGCAAACUCUGACAAAACUGAAACCACUUCACCCAUUUUAUUAACUAGCUCAGAACUUAAUAUCACCUUUGGUUUAUCUUCCACCUGAGCACCACCAGCAGCCUCCAAGUGUGAAUCUUCAGCAGUCAAAGAAUCUGCAUUUUGACUUAUGCCAAUGGUUUUACAUAUACGUAGGGCAGAGUUUCCUGUCCUCAUCACUGUAUCUGCCACUCGAUCUGUCUCUGAUAUCUCAUCAGUCUUUAGGUCACUAACUACCCCACUAUCACCAUCAUCAGAAAUGUUUCCCCCAAUGCCUGAUGUGUGCCCAGCGGUUGGGGCAAUAUCAUCUGAAUUUUCAUUGCUUUCUAGGCACUGAUCCACCAAUCUUUGCAACUCUUCGAUUUCUGAAUCGGAGUUCUCAUCAAGAUCUCCCGGCUUAGAAUCAUUUUCAUUCUCUACAACGGCCAACUGCUCGCCACUACUACUGACAUGUUCAACAAUGGUGGGAUUCACAUUAUCCGCUUGCUCGCUAGGCAAGCCAUCCAAAGAAUCUGAAACCCGAGAUACCGAGGGUGAUGCAACAGGGGAUUUGGACAUUUCAUCAGCAGCAACAGUAGCUAGAAGAUUCAUUCCAACAUCAUCUGCACCAGCCACACAUGCAUUCGCCUCAGAGUCCCUGACACAACUUUCAAUCAAAGCAUUCAUUAAGCUGUGUGAUUCACCAUGCCCUUUUUCAGUUUUGACAUCAUCUCCUGAGGUAGGAGACGUGGGCUUGACAAUAUCUUCUAUUUUACUAGACUCAUUAACAGCCUUCUCGUGCCCAUCACCACGUUCACCACAUUUAGGCAGCUUAACCAUCAACUUAUUGCUACAACCUUCAGCUUUCUCAAAAGUUACAGUUCUUUGUGAUGAGAUGCUCCUGCUCAGCCCAACUUCUGCGUGGACUGCAACAGUAUUUUUUUGCUGCCCAACGUUAGCAACAGCAACACCUGUUCCAGGUGAUGGGGCUGAUCUAGUAGAACUUGGAGAGGUGGUUGCAGACUUCACGCUGUUAUCUGAAAUACCGGACACGGACUUAAAAGGAUGUAGAUGAGACACUGAUGUCUUGGUUGCAUCAAAGGAUACAACUGAGUGUCUACUGCCAUGGGAAACUUCAGACUGACGAGGUCUUCCAGGCUUGGCAUCCAUUUCUGCCUCAACACGUUUCUUCCAUGUAUCAACCAAGCUCCUUGCCUUUUUCCCAAUUUCUGAGUUCUUAUGUGAUCGCAAUCGAUUAACAGACUUCCCAAUGUUGCAAGUCUGAAGAGCAUUGAGAUUCACAGGCAGCUUGUCAAGAGCACGUAGUAAAAUCAAAAGAAACUCGUCCACUGAUCUAUCAUUUUCUUUGGGACUGCUCCCAUCCCCAAUUUUCCUUCUAUGAACCUCCUGUAGCCACUCAUCAAAAACAGAUAAACCCCUCAGCUGGACGAAACGACUGAGACAGUCAAACUUGUCUGUUGCUGCUACAGCACUUGCAAGAAUGGACCGCCCAAUCAAAUCUGUCUUCUUCUCAUUCUUCUCAGGUAGCAUGAGCUGUACCAAUUUCUCAACCCCUUCAGAAUCCACUAGCCUCCCUCUCUCAGUAAUUUUUGCAAUCUCAGACUUCAAACUGCUUUCUUUUCUUACAAAACCAGAACCACCAUCAUCACCUCGGCUCGGACGUUCCCUUUUCACAGAUUCAGAACCCUGAUCACCACGCUCUCUCUUCCUUCCCUUGCCCUGUGAAGAAGAGGAGCUACUGUUCUGCAUACCUUCUGUUCCUGUUUUCACUUGAGAUGUUGUUAACCUAGGAGAACAACCACACUGCUGUAAACUCUUACACAAUAACUUAUCUACUUCUUGUUGACGUUCCUGCAUUAAAAAAAAAAAAAAAAAAUUUGCCAAAAAAAAAAAUGUUACAUGGACCUGACAAAUGAAGGUUGUCAAGAGGAAAUAAGAAUACUAUUCCAGGCAAGCCAAAGAUCUCGUUAGGCUGAGCCUCCAAAAGGACGCCCUUCCCAAGCUUCAACUCACCGGGUCGAUACAGCCAAUUCACACGAACCUUAAAGCUACCUCCUUCUUCUCGUUCCGGAACCAGCAAACGGAUCAAACCAAUGAACGGUGGACAAUCCUGAGGCGGCUUAAACAGAGCACAGUCACCAACACUAAUCCUCCUCCCGUCCUGCAAUAACCAUCAUCAAAAUCAAAACUUUAAAUCAAAUCGGAACCAAUCAAAAGCCAAUUGAGACGAAUCAAGUUACCUUAGAGAAGGAAGAAGGUGAAGAAAGAGAGAGCGACGAAGAAGAAGAAGAAGCGGUUGAGAUUAGACGCGAAGGAGGUCUAAGCAUAAGCAGACGACGAUGACCUUUCUUCCUCCCAUGCAUAGCCGUCUCUCAUUUUUUCCCCUUUCGAAUCAAAACAAACACAAUUUCGUCUUCCUUGUCAGAAUUGGUUUUCGAUUAAAAAAAACCCUAAAAUUGAGAUUAAAAGAAGAAGAUGCGAUUCCUUAGGGAUUGAUUUUUGAAAUCGAGUACCUGAUCCAAUCAACCCGCGAAGAUCCAACAGCGAGAAGAAGAAGAAACCCCCGUAGAGUGCGAGACACGAAUCGAAAGCACGCCCUUGUUUGUUUUUUCGAUCCAGCGAAGAAGAAGAAGAAGAAGAAGAAGAAAAAAAAAUAAAAUCGAGAGAGAGAGAGAGAGAGAGACGAAGGCAAAAGGGGGGUACUACGAGUCGGGGCAGUUCGGGCAUGUGUUUCGGGCAGCGUUUUUAUUUAUUUUGUUUUUGGUUUUCUGGUGACAUUUGAGUGUGUUUUUCUUUUCUCCCCCCUUUUUAUAGCUCUUUUUGAUUUUUCUAAUUUUUUCCUAAAUUUAAAACAAAACGAACUUCGUGAUUUAAAAAAAAAAGUUAUUUGGGUUAAACACAAAAAAAAGUCUGAUCAUUUAUAAAAAUCAAACGAAAUUUAGGAUCAUUUUUAAUCAACAAACUCAAAAAUAAAUGUGAGUACUUUAUAAAAUAAAAUUAGAGAAAUGUUCUGCUCAUUUUGUUUCAUAUAAUGUAUUUUAAAAAAUGUUCUCGCGUAUUUAAAAUUGAAUUAGAAACUCUAUUUUAUCCGUUGACACACUUUUUUAUUUAUUUAAUACACUAAUACAAUAAGGUUAAAAAUGAACAUUUAUUUAAAUUUUGUAUUGAAAAUAAAAAACGACACACUUUUUGAAAUAAAAAUAAAACUCUAAACACACUUUUUAAGAAACUGGGAAGUAUUAUCUAAUAUUUAUAGAAGAAAAUAUCACAUUCAUCUAAAAAUAGAAAAAAAAAUAUAACAUAUUGGAGUAAAAUCUUCAUUUUCUGUAUCUUUAGAUAUGUGCACAUUUUCUUGCCAAGAAGAUAAGAAAUAUUGAAAUUUUCUUUUUUCCAUGUAGAUCAGAUCUGGUCUGAGAGAGCGUCUCUUUGGAACGUAUCAGCCAUGACUAAUACUUAUCUUAUAAAAUAAGUGUCGUAAAAAAAUGGAGUAAAAUUCCUAUGUAUUUGAAAAAUUCUAUUUUUAGUGGAAAAAAACUAGAAGAGAGAUUAUCUAUAUAGCAAGCAAACUAAAAUUAUAAGCAUGAAUAAGUUGUUUCCACAAGUUUACAAAACCGAUCAGUUUAUAUAAUAAUUUUGUGAUUUGAUCCAGUUUAUUCUGGCUGAUUACGGUUUGAAUGUGGUGACCUACCCUCCACAACAAGUUAUGUUUGGUUAUGAUUUUUAUGCGAGGAUCUUUUGGUUACAUUGUACAGUGUCAAAUCACUGUCAUCAAAGUACAAGUCAAUCAUUGUCUCUCUUUGACACAGACAUUAACUUUUUGUACAAUGAGACUCGGAAGCUAUUUGAGUAGCUUCCAGUGACAUUUGGCUUCUUCACUCACCGAUUGCUCCUAAACAUGUUCUUCACAAGGCACAGAAUAUGUAGAACAUCUCAAGAUUUUGAGACGGUAAUGUUAGCUACUUGAAGGUUCCAUAAUUGCAUAGGUGACAAGACCAGUCAAAACUGGCAAUUGGAGAUGGUGCAAAUGAUGUUGGAAUGCUUGGGAUCAGUGGAGUGGAAGCAAUGCAGGUUCUUUAAGGAAUCUCAGAACAACCAUUUGCACGGUUUUGUCUCAAGGUAUAAUGAAACAUUCAAAUCAAAAAGAGCUGCGUAGUUUGCUGUAUAGUGGAGUUUCUUAACCCAAAGUCUUGCUUUGUUUGCUGUAACUGUUCCCUAUAUUGUACCAGGAAGUGGUACAAAAUCUCCCCUUUGGUUGUUACAUGGCUUCUGCAGCACAGUAAUCAUUUUCUUCCUCUGCAAAACCUCUCUUGAAUCCCAAGCUUUCAACCACCAAGGGAAAACCGCAGGGGAGAGAGAGAUUUUUGGAGGAACUAUGUACACAUGUGGGUUGUGAGUUAGCAGAUGGUACAAUCAGUUACUACCUGUUAUUGCAAUAUAUGAGCCAUUUUGUUAUAACAGAGACUAAAAGUUCUGAAAUGUGGAUUCAACCAUAACUAACCACAAGUAAAAAAAUCUACAAAAGAGUUGCUGCUGACUAUAUAAUACACAAACCAUGUCAGAUUUUACCAGUCUCAUACCAACAAUGACCAUCAUUUUUUCUUUUACAGCAGAGCUCCAAAAAAAAAAGAGAAAAAAAAACAUAAACUAAACACUCGCUUGCAUCUCUAAAAGAGAUAAGGAACUAAGUUAGCGUCUGCUUUUAUCUUCAAGAGUACCUAAGAGCCAACAAAGAUGAAUUAGAAACACAGUCAGCGAGAGAUAAUAUAAAGAAAGAAACAGAAGAUGCUAGAGCUGAAAGAAGAGAGUAAAAAUAUGCUUACAUGCUUAGUGCAACGGCCUACAAAGAGAUUCUGAGGUUUGUUAUUGCCAAGAGGGUUGCUUGUAUCCAUCCCAUCCACCACUGUCUGGUUCCUUCCUCUUGAGAGUACCACCAAACAUUUGAUACAUUCUUGCUUCAUCUUUCAAGGGUAAAGAACCAGAGGAAGAUAGCUGUCUUUGUACAAGUGCUGCUUCAUCUCUGCCAUCAGUUUCAUGCCCUCCUGGUCCAGAGUUCAAGUCAAGACCAGAUCUCAACCAUUUUGCAUUGUUGCUGUCCGAAACUCCACCAUUGCUGUUUGGGAGAUUAACGACAUAAGGCCUUGGGUAGUUAGAAGGGAUGGCAACUCCUGGACCCAAUAUUUGAGAGUUGACAGGAGGGAAGCAUAGCCUGCCACUUGAUGAAGAGUCCAUGUAUGGUGUUGAAGCACCUGAAAAAUUUGCUGAGGAAAGAGGAAAGCUGGAACCAAAAGGAAACCCAGGAUACUGAAAUGCUGAUGGUGGGAAUGAAACUGCUGGAGAAGACAGUAAAACAGGGCCUCUGUACAUAUCAGGUGUAUAUGAUGAAACUUCAGAUGUUGGACCAACCAUUCUCUGCGGUCCAUUGCCACGUUCAGGCAAGACUUGAGGAAUGCUCAUUGCUGAAUAAUUGUUAACAGCAGGAAACCAAGAUGAGAAGCCAGGCCUUAUUCCACUGAUCAUUGGCUGUGCACUUCGGGAAUUUUGACUAAAACCCAGAGAUGACUCAACAACGUUAACAUCAUCAACAGCAGGUCCAUCGUUUAAAUCAAAAUCCCUACUACCACCAGAAGAUAAGUUUGUCUGUUGAAAAGUUGAAUUCACCCGAUGACCACUGCUUACUGUAUGAUUAUUCAUAUCGGCUGGAUCAUCAAGUCUGUUUAGAUCAAGAUCCAGUACACCAGAGGGAUUUGUAAAUCUUUGGGAAGACAGCUCUUCAAGAACUCUUUCAUCCGGUACAUUUAGGUCGAAGUCGAAGAAUGUCUUUGUUUGCUUGCCAGCAGUUGUCGAAGCAUCACAGGAAGCCACAUUAUUCAUGUUUAGUGGCACCUCUUGGACUUUUCUUGGCUCAGGUGGCCGGAAGGCACUAGUGGCAGCAGAUCCUCUCCAGCCAA